UACGUAGGGGGCAAGCGUUGUCCGGAAUUAUUGGGCGUAAAGCGCGCGCAGGCGGCUGUUUAAGUCUGGUGUUUAAGCCCGGGGCUCAACCCCGGUUCGCACCGGAAACUGGACGGCUUGAGUGCAGGAGAGGGAAGUGGAAUUCCACGUGUAGCGGUGAAAUGCGUAGAGAUGUGGAGGAACACCAGUGGCGAAGGCGACUUCCUGGCCUGUAACUGACGCUGAGGCGCGAAAGCGUGGGGAGCAAACAGG
rnacentral:rRNA from 1 species